CUUUGCACUGUUAAGUGGCGGUGAACAAUGGUGAUUUGAGUCUGAGACGAUUUAGUUGCCAUUUACACGUAGUUGUAUUGCCCUAUGGCAGCGAUUAAAGUGGUCAUUUAAGAAGACACUAAGCAAGUUGUGCAGCAAACAUAGCAGUCAGCUGGGGCUUGAUUUUUGGAAGGUGUGAAAACGGCACAGGAGACGUUUUACAGGUGGAAGAAACACCUGCUUUUAUAGGUCAAAGACAAAGAAGGCCUGUUAGAGACCCUCUAACAAGCACAAGAAGGUUUUUCUGGUAAAAAAAACUGACCAGAAAAACAUUCAGACUCGGUGGUCAUAAGACCAAGCCUUACGCCAGGUCAGAGACAGAGCGCGAUGCGUGUGGAGAACUUGGCACAACCUGAAUAACACUGGACAAACACAGGCACAGAACCCCUCUGCAUGAUGAGGACGAUGACGAGCCCAUGACAUUUCUGGAAUAUUUACGCCGUAUAGAGCAGGAAGAAUACAAAAAACAAGCAACUACAAUCCAGGCUGUGUGUGAUAGUGGAGAGCUAGACCCCCUUUUUUUUUUUUUUUCCUUUUUUCCAACAACUGGUCACCUCAGGCAUGUCUUUAUCCUGUUUUCCUUCUCUCACCCCAACCGGUCGCAGCAGAUGGCCCCGCCCCUCCCUGAGCCUGGUUCUGCCAGAGGUUUCUUCCUGUUAAAAGGGAGUUUUUCCUUCCCACUGUCGCCAAAGUGCUUGCUCAUAGGGGGAUUUUCUCCUUAACACUUUGCAUCUUCAUCCACCAACUGCAACCACUCACCUGCCACCUCCGCUGGAGGAUUCGCUGCACGGCCCGCCGGAUGACUUGCUGCAUGAACUGCCGGCGUGAAUAAUUAUCGUCUCACCCAGUUCAUCCAGCAUUUCCACACCACAGCAGGAGCAGCCACGUCAGAGUUGUUCCACAUCACCAUCACUUUUCCCUGCUGAUCCCGCUCCUCCUUCCAGGAGGACGCAACAUCUACACCACUGGCAGUCAUAAGCAGAUGCGGGCUUCCCCAGAGGUUGGGUUCCUGACCUCAUCUGACUCUGGACCUUUGGAAGUAACGGAAUCUGUACAGCCUGUGAAUUUAAAGGACCGUCCCCAACGUCUCAGGUGGGAAUGGCUGGUGUCCAGCAGGAGCCCGCACCUGUGUCUGAUAUCACUGGAGGCACUGGUGAGCCCGUCCAGCUGGUUAACCCAUGUUCUGGAGCCUCAGGAGAACCAACAUCACCACCAACUCUACGUCCACUACAGCUUUCAGCUCAGCUUCCUGCUCAGUUUUCAGCUCAGCUUCCUGCUCAGCCUGCAGCUCAGCCAUCUGCUUUGCGAGAGGUCUUCAUACCUGCUGAUCCUGUGUCUGUCCAGCUGUCUUCAGUUCUCGCUGGAGGGUCCGAGGAACGGCUUCAGCCGUCUUCUGUUCCUGCUCAAGGGUCAGAGGGGUUCCUUCAGCCGCCUUCUCUUCCUGCUGGACGGUCCGAGGGGUAACUGAACAAUACAAAAGUCUGCUCUUCUUUCUUGUCCUCAUGUUACUGUUGUAAGGACUGCACUCACUUUCAGCUCACUCUUUUCACUCCCAUGGGGCAGCAGCUGAGAGUUUAGCAGUCCAUGUGUGUCUUCCUUUAAGUUAAGUUACCACUGAUUACACUGAAAUAAACCCAGUUACCACAACUAAUUGAUGGCUUUCUUUGCAUUCUGACCGGAUGAGGCCAUGGUGAUAACAAUUUUAAUUUCCUUUAAACCUCCUAAUUAACAAUCGGUCUUCGUAUUUUCAUCUUCUUAAUAUUAAUUUUUUUAAUUUAUUUGUCCUUCACUCACUUCAAACAGUACCACCAUACUUGUCAAUGCUCUUGUAACAUCUCAUUUAGAUUACUGUAAUUCUUUAAUCUCUCGUCUACUCGUCUUACUUUCAAAGCGCUUCAUAACCUUGCUCCUCCAUAUUUAUCUGUCUUCUUCAUACGUACUCACCCCCUGGUACACUCUGUUCUUCUUCAGCUUCCUUUCUGUCUGUUCCACCUGCUCGCCUGACUUCCAUGGGACUCGGAGCCUUUAGUAGUUCUGCCGAGACUUUGGAAUGCACUUCCACCAGAUCUUCGGACUACAAACUCUCUCCACUUUUAAACUGCAUCUUAAAACCCAUCUAUUCAAAAUUGCAUACCCUUCAUCAUGAUUAAGUCUUAGACUAUUAUUACCUUUUUUGGCUUUUAUUCCUGCUUUCAUACUUUCAUCUUUCAUACUUGUUUUAUUUUUCAUUUACCUUUGGUUUUUAUUUUAUUGUACUAAUGUAAAGUGACCUUGAGGGUCUUUAAAGCCGCCUAUAAAUAAAAUGUGUUAUUGUUAUUUUCAUUAUCAUCUUGAACAAAAACAUUCAUCCAUAUGAAGGACAUCUUAAGCUAUAAAACACAGACAACAUGCCUCAUAAAUCAACCCCUUUAUAUUUCUGUGCAGAUUAUUGAGACUUGCAAAUUUAAAAUGUGUUUUGUAGCUAGGAAUCAGUGCAUCAUAGUCUUUUAUGAAGCUUGGAGUUUCUGAUAUCCAACUUUAACUCAUUUCAAUACCCUCUCCAUCAAGACUUUUACUUUGGAAGGUAUAGCCUUUAUUUUUAUUUUAUUUUAUUUUAUUUUUUUCACUGCAAGCCGGCUGGUGUCCCUGGUGGAGGUUUAGUAUUUACAUCAAUAUUAUCUGAACCUUAUCCGACACUGUUAUUCAGUGCACAGCCAGACACGCAGUUGACCUGUCAGUGGCACAGCUUUGAAUUAAUUUUUUGUUAUUUUCUAUUGUGGGUUCCAAUCACAUUUUUUGUGCAUUUUGGAGCCAUUUCCUGUGAUGCUGGUGAGUUAUAUCCAAAUGGGUGCAUUAUCAUGGUGUGCAGCUUUGCCUGGAGACACAAGUGUUCGUCGGUUCUUUCUAUACUGGCCACAGUCAUGAAUGUUAAGUAUGAAUGCAGAAUUUGUGCCUCACACAUAAAAGUAGAGAAAAAUGACACGGUACUUGUUAAUGAGCCUUAUGAACACUAUAGUUCAUUAAUGUUUUGGGUAUCAGUUUGUAUUAGGGGUGGUGGGGUCAGUAAUUGUGUGAUGCUUUAUUCUGGUUGUCUCCUGUAAGUUUAGUAUGUUGCUCUUGUACAUCAGAAAGCAGACAUGUCUGUUUAUACAGUUUAAACGCUUUGCUUGGCCUCCUCCUUUUUGCUCUGCUGUGUUCCUGAAAAAGAAGUCAGAAUUUCCACGUUCCCGGUCAUAAUUUGAGUCUGAAGUCCCCUCAACUCAGAUUUCCCACUCUGGAAGUCAGAGCAGCCCCAUUGCCCCCCGACUUACUAAUCCAUGGAACAUAAAUAAUAGACAGUAAAACUUUUAAUUUGUCCUGCCACUAUUGUGUAUUUGUGACUUGUUAAAUAAGUCGUACGUAGAGCACGGACCAGGUUCUAUCCAUGAACAUGCUGCAGCUGUGUCUUUAAGCACAUAAUAGGAUUCAUUUGGGGGGUUUUGCUGAGAACCAAUAAAAUCCCCCCCCCCUGCAUUCAUAUGACUGUGUCUCACUUCUCAUGACAAUAUGCUGGUAGUUCAGGAACAACAGCCAAACUCUUAUUAAGACUUGGGAAUAAUUCUUAAAACUGUAUUGCUGACCAACAUUUGAUAACUUUAAAGCAGCUUUUUUGCAACUUUCAGUUUGCAUGCAUACCAACUGUUUAAGUAAAAAAAACUUUACUUUUUAGCAUUCUCUGAUAACAGCAAUGGGCAUCGGAGUCAGAUGGAGUUUUUCCAUAUUAUCUGGACAAGGUCUACAUUAGUAUUGGUUACAAAACAUUACUUAGCACCUUAGACACUAUAAAAGAUUUAAACUGUCAAUAUUUUUUUAUACCAUCUAUAUACAGAGGAUGAUCCAUAAGGAUGUCUGACAAUGGUGUUCUCACAUCUGCAGCUGCGCGCUGACUGGUUUCCCAGAAUGUCCAUCAUGUAGCAGCAUCCUGUUUGAACUAUAUAGUGAAAGGUUUUGCUUCUAAAAUAAUGAACUGACACUGGAGGGAUUCAUGUGGAUUUGCUGUGAUCAAAAGACUGGAUUGGAGACCCUCGGUGUGCUGAGUUCAAGGAGGAAAUGCCUACCCUGGAAUUAGGUGGUAACCAAUGAGAGGAAAUUGUUCAAAACUUGGAGAAGAAGAGCUUGAGAGUUGAAGUCCCAGGAUCUGGUGUGGAAACCCACUCUCUAACUACACAAGGCCUGAUAAGGUUAACAACUCCAACCGUGGUGGCUUUGGGCCUUGGAUUGCAGGCCAGCACUGUGUCUUCAGCCACUAGUCUUCUUUGGAGGAAAAAUAAAUCUUGUGUACUCCAUUUUUAUUGUGAGUGUAGUGGUUUCCUCCUGGUCACUAUUGGAACUUAUUACUUUCUUGUAUGGAGGCCAAGACCUCACCCGCCUCCAAAAAUAGAAAUGACUGGCCCAUCCUGUAGAGUGCAGUCCAGUUUAUUUUCUAUGUGUACUCCAAGGUAUUUAUAGUCUUCCGCAAUUUCCUCAGCAACCUCCUGGAUUGCACAGGUUUCCUGGUCCUCCUACAAUCAAUUCUUUGGUCUUAGUCACAUUGAGCUGCAAAUGAUUCUGCUUGCACCACGUGACAAAGGAGUCAAUCACAGCCCUGUACUCCGUCUCAAUCACCCUCACUGAUGCAUCCAAUCACCGCAGAGUCAUCAGAAAACUUCUGAAGAUGCCAGGUCUCUGUGCAGCGGCUGAAGUCUGUGAUGUAGAGAGCUGGUCCAGAUGGGCAUAGACACGAUUGAGCAGGUAGAUGAUGGUGUCCUCAUUUCCAAGACAGGCUCGUGGGGGAACUGAAGGGGAUCCUGUUGUGGCAUGAGAAUAGGCUGAAGCUGGUCAUGGAUGAAUCUUUCCAGUGUCUUCAUUAUGUGAGAAGUCGGUGCCACAAGCCUGUAAUCCUGGGGGCCACCGGAACAUGGCGUCUUUGGUACAGGACCGAGGCAUGAUGUCUUCCACAGCACUGGGACCCUCUGCAGAGGUUCUUCAUGAAGAGUUUAUGAGAGUCUCCACAAAGCUUCAGGGCACAGACCUUUAGGACAUGGGGACUCACCCCAUCUGGUUUAGCAGAUUUGCUUAAGUGGAGUCUUCUCAUUUGUCUCUGAACAUGCUCAUGAAUAAAAGCAAUAGGUGGGGAAAGGAUGUCAGGACGUUUAACGGAGGCUAUGGUGCAGCGUGGAGAAGAGUGUCGUGGCUGUGGAUUGCAGGCUGACCAUAGGCACCACAGUCACAGACAGUCCUUUAAUGCACUGGACAAGACUACUCAGUAUUUUCAUGCAACAUUUGAAAAGUUUCUGACUCGUGAUUUCCAAAAGGCAGCUUGGAUGUAAUCCAAUAAUGGAAACAAGGCAGACAUUAAACACUGAAGAAAGGAAUUUAUUGUACACAAAACUGACAGUUAAAAAAACAAAGCAUAUCCAUUCAAGUCUGGGUUAUCUAUAUCUAUCAGUAAAACACAUUAAACAACUAUAAAAAGCAAACUGUUGCUUCGCAAACUGCUUGCCUGAUUAACUUUUACCCUGACCACAUCAGCAGAAUUACCCACACUUUAUAACAGCACAACAAUAGCAGGAUGGACUAAUAAAGCAAAAAAAUCUUAAUAUGCAAACUGAAUAAAAAAAAAAAAAAACAAUACUAAAAAGCAUUUAAAUGUAGCUAGUAAUAUUCAGAUAAAAAAAGACCUUUCUAUUUGGCUCGAACAGUCUGUGAGAUCCAGCUUUGUUGAUGCUCACAUCCCUGUAACAGUAACUGCAGGUUAUGCUGGUCUGUUUUCUUUUUUUUAAAACUACAAAUCAAUUGAUGGAUAACUUAGGGCUGCCCUGAAGUGUACCCUAUUUUAUCUCCCUUCUGGACAAUCCAGUGGGCUAAAAUUUACAAAGUAAACAUGAAUUUGAUAAGACUUGAAAAUAUGAAUUGUUUACUGGUGGAAUGGAACAUGAAGUCUGUAGCUCUUUUUCCAACAGUCAUAACCAAACAUCUUUGCAGUCAGUCUCGUCCUGCUGCUUAGAAAGAAUGCUUGACCUUGACCUUGUUUAGCCUAUUCUAUGUGUAUCAAAAACCAAAAUUAACAAAUAUUUAAAAGGUCAUAUUGAUUUUUUUUAUUUUUAUUUUAAAAAGACGGAUAUCAACAGCAACCCCUGAAAUUUUUCAAAAAACAGUAACAGUUUUUACAAUGCUGUUGUUGCACUAUUUUGCAUGAAAUGGAUUUAAAUAAUCUGAUUAUCGCAUUAUGUUUUCAAUAUUACAAAUUUUUCUGGACACAUGAGUAAAGCAUGAAUGUACUAUCAGUUAACAGAUGAAUAUAGAUUGUCCAAUGUUGUAGCUACAGCAGUGUCCAUAACCUUAAAGCCAUGCUGUAUAACUAA